UUGGAGGGCAAGUCUGGUGCCAGCAGCCGCGGUAAUUCCAGCUCCAAUAGCGUAUAUUAAAGUUGUUGCAGUUAAAAAGCUCGUAGUUGAAUUUCGGGGUUAGUAGGUUGGUCAUGCCACUGGUAUGUACUGGUCUCGCUGAUUCCUCCUUCCUGAUGAGCCGUAAUGCCAUUAAUUUGGUGUUGCGAGGAAUCUGGACUGUUACUUUGAAAAAAUUAGAGUGUUUAAAGCAAGCUAACGCUUGAAUACAUUAGCAUGGAAUAAUGAAAUAGGACGUUCGAUCCUAUUUUGUUGGUUUCUAGGAUUGACGUAAUGAUUAAUAGGGAUAGUUGGGGGCAUUAGUAUUCAAUUGUCAGAGGUGAAAUUCUUGGAUUUAUUGAAGACUAACUACUGCGAAAGCAUUUGCCAUGGAUGUUUUCAUUAAUCAAGAACGAAAGUUAGGGGAUCGAAGACGAUCAGAUACCGUCGUAGUCUUAACCAUAAACUAUGCCGACUAGGGAUCGGAUGAUGUUAUUUUUAAUGACUCAUUCGGCGCCUUACGGGAAACCAAAGUGUUUGGGUUC
rnacentral:rRNA from 1 species